rnacentral:rRNA from 1 species
GAAAAAUGACACCGUAACUUCGGGAGAAGGUGUGCCCUCAUUACGUGAAGCACGAACGUGUGGAGCGGACGGGGGUUGCAGAGAAUCGGGGGUAGCGACUGUUUACCAAAAACACAGCACUCUGCGAAGUCGCAAGACGACGUAUAGGGUGUGAUGCCUGCCCGGUGCUGGAAGGUUAAAGAGAGAACUCAGCCGCAAGGCAAAGGUUCGAACUGAAGCCCCAGUAAACGGCGGCCGUAACAAUAACGGUCCUAAGGUAGCGAAAUUCCUUGUCGGGUAAGUUCCGACCUGCACGAAUGGCAUAACGACUUCCCCACUGUCUCGAGCAGGGACUCAGCGAAGUAGCACUAGGGGUGAAGAUACCCUUUACCCACGGCAGGACGGAAAGACCCCGUGAACCUUCACUACAGUUUGACAUUGAUUGACGAAAUGAUUUGCGUAGGAUAGGUGGGAGGCUGCGAAGCAGGGAUUCCGGUCUCUGCAGAGCCAACGUUGAAAUACCACCCUGAUCGUUUUGGCAAUCUAACCUACACCCGUGAGCCGGGUGGGGGACACUGUCUGAUGGGUAGUUUGACUGGGGCGGUCGCCUCCCAAAAAGUAACGGAGGCGCGCGAAGGCCCCCUCAGCCUGAUUGGAGACCAGGCGUCGAGUGUAAAGACAUAAGGGGGCUUGACUGCGAGGCAAACAAGCCGAGCAGGUACGAAAGUAGGUCUUAGUGAUCCGGUGGCUCCACAUGGAAGGGCCAUCGCUCAACGGAUAAAAGGUACUCCGGGGAUAACAGGCUUAUCACGUCCAAGAGUUCACAUCGACGACGUGGUUUGGCACCUCGAUGUCGGCUCAUCGCAUCCUGGGGCUGAAAUCGGUCCCAAGGGUUUAGCUGUUCGCUAAUUAAAGCGGUACGCGAGCUGGGUUCAGAACGUCGUGAGACAGUUCGGUCCCUAUCCGUCGUGGGCGCAGGAUACUUGAGAGGAGCUGACUUUAGUACGAGAGGACCGAGUUGGACAAACCGCUAGUGUUCCGGUUAUGACGCCAGUCGUAUCGCCGGGUAGCUAUGUCUGGAAGGGAUAACCGCUGAAAGCAUCUAAGCGGGAAGCCCCCCUCGAGAUUAGGUAUCCCGUGCCGUAAGGCACCUAAAGACCCCCGGUAGACUACCGGGUUGAUAGGCUGGGUGUGGAAAUGCAGCAAUGCAUGGAGCUAACCAGUACUAAUCGGUCGUGCGGCUUGACCAC